GUGAGGAAUAUUGGUCAAUGGGCGGGAGCCUGAACCAGCCAAGUCGCGUGAAGGAAGAAGGAUCUAUGGUUCGUAAACUUCUUUUGCAGGGGAAUAAAGUGCAGGACGUGUCCUGUUUUGUAUGUACCCUGAGAAUAAGGAUCGGCUAACUCCGUGCCAGCAGCCGCGGUAAUACGGAGGAUCCGAGCGUUAUCCGGAUUUAUUGGGGUUAAAGGGUGUGUAGGUGGUUUGAUAAGUCAGCGGUGAAAGUUUGCAGCUUAACGGUAAAAAUGCCGUUGAAACUGUCGGACUUGAGUGUAAAUGAGGUAGGCGGAAUGCGUGGUGUAGCGGUGAAAUGCAUAGAUAUCACGCAGAACUCCGAUUGCGAAGGCAGCUUACUAAGCUACAACUGACACUGAAGCACGAAAGCGUGGGGAUCAAACAGGAUUAGAUACCCGGGUAGUCC
rnacentral:rRNA from 1 species